rfam:Nomascus leucogenys chromosome 6, whole genome shotgun sequence.
UCUUAUUCCGGGCAUUCCAGUAACUUUUUUGUGUAUGUACUUACCUGUACUAUAAGUAGUUGGUUUGUAUGAGAUGGUUAAAAA